rnacentral:rRNA from 1 species
AGAGUUCGAUCCUGGCUCAGGACGAACGCUGGCGGCAUGCCUCACACAUGCAAGUCGAACGAACUUUUUUAGGAAGCUUGCUUUCUAAAAAAGUUAGUGGCGGACGGGUGAGUAACACGUGGGCAACCUGCCCUACAGAUCGGGAUACCAUCGGGAAACUGAUGUUAAUACCGGAUACGUUCUAGGAAUCACCUGAUACCUAGAAGAAAGAUUUAUCGCUGUAGGAUGGGCCCGCGGUCCAUUAGCUAGUUGGUAGGGUAACGGCCUACCAAGGCGACGAUGGAUAGCUGGUCUGAGAGGACGAUCAGCCACACUGGGACUGAGACACGGCCCAGACUCCUACGGGAGGCAGCAGUGGGGAAUAUUGCGCAAUGGGGGCAACCCUGACGCAGCAAUGCCGCGUGAAGGAUGAAGGCUUUCGGGUCGUAAACUUCUGUCUAGAGGGAUGAAUAAUGACAGUACCUCUGGAGGAAGCCCCGGCUAACUACGUGCCAGCAGCCGCGGUAAUAC